AUGGCGGCAGGGAAGAGGAAGAAAAGAAGAGAUGCGAGAAAGAAGAGGAAAUUGGGGGGAAAGGAGGACAAAUCAAAAAAUACAAGAGGGAGAGACGGGUCAAAAGAAAGGAAAAAAAAGAAAAAAGGGGGAGAUGGCGUUGGCCAAGAGGGGGAUUACAAGGAAUCCCAUUGCCCCGAAACUAUGAACCGGAAUAAGGAGGAAAGAAGAAUGGGAAAGAAGGGGGGAACGAAGAGAGAAAUUGUACCCCGGCUUUUGAGAGAGGUCGAAGGAAGUAUAGAAGGAAGUGUAGAAGACGAUGUCUGAAGAAGCAAAGAGAAUCAUAACGAAGGUACUAGAGAAACAAGACAUGGCAAUUUCGUAUCUCUACCAAAUCAAAUUCUAGCACUAUCGCCGUGGAUUAGUAAAAUUGCUAAUCGCUCUAUGUUUUUAAUUUCUUUUUUCUUUUGAUAUUUAAUUUAGUUUCAUUUCUUUGAUGUCAGGUACUAGAGAAGUAAAACAUGGCAAUUGCUAAUCUUCAAGUUGAAAUGGUGGGAGAGAUUGUGGAGCCAAAAAUAAUCAAGAAGAAUAU
rnacentral:sRNA from 1 species